rnacentral:rRNA from 1 species
UUGACCUCGGAUCAGGUAGGGAUACCCGCUGAACUUAAGCAUAUCAAUAAGCGGAGGAAAAGAAACCAACAGGGAUUGCCCUAGUAACGGCGAGUGAAGCGGCAUCAGCUCAAAUUUGAAAUCUGGCUCUUUCAGAGUCCGAGUUGUAAUUUGCAGAGGGCGCUUUGGUGUCGGCAGCGGUCCAAGUUCCUUGGAACAGGACGUCACAGAGGGUGAGAAUCCCGUACGUGGUCGCUGACCUACACCGUGUAAAGCCCCUUCGACGAGUCGAGUUGUUUGGGAAUGCAGCUCUAAAUGGGAGGUAAAUUUCUUCUAAAGCUAAAUACUGGCCAGAGACCGAUAGCGCACAAGUAGAGUGAUCGAAAGAUGAAAAGCACUUUGGAAAGAGAGUCAAACAGCACGUGAAAUUGUUGAAAGGGAAGCGCUUGCAGCCAGACUUGCUUGUAGUUGCUCAUCCGGGCUUUUGCCCGGUGCACUCUUCUGCGAGCAGGCCAGCAUCAGUUUGGGCGGUUGGAUAAAGGCCUCUGUCACGUACCUUCUCUCGGGAAGGCCUUAUAGGGGAGGCGUCAUGCAACCAGCCUGGACUGAGGU